UGCAAAGACUAAAACAAAGAUUUACGUGGAUGUUGCCAGGACUAGAGGGUCUGAGCUGUAGGGAGAGCUUGAGUAAGCUGGGUUUCUAUUCCUUAAGGCGAGGAGGAUGAGGGGUGAUCUUAUAGAGGUGUAUAAAAUUAUGAGAGGAAUAGAUCGGGUAGAUGCACAAAAUAUCUUGCCCAGAGUAGGAGAAUUAA